GAAUCGGUUGGCAGAAAAGUGGUCACAACACACAAGCCACAGACUGCUGCAUCCAGUCCCAUAAGAAAGAAAGGAUCCCUGCUCAUCCCUACAGAACAACGGCUUUCCUUUCUGAGGGCUGCUAAUGGAUGUCUGAGAGGGGAGAGGGGUCCAGAAAUUUGCCCAAAGGCCACUCUGAGGAUCGGUUGGCAGAAAAGUGGUCACAACACACAAGCCACAGACUGCUGCAUCCAGUCCCAUAAGAAAGAAAGGAUCCCUGCUCAUCCCUCCGGAACAACAGCUUUCCAUUCUGAGGGCACACUGAGGAUCACUUGUCAGAAAAGUCAUCAGGAAACACAAGCUACAGACUGCGAAAUCCAGGUCCGAGGGAAAGAAAUUAUCCGUGCUGGUCCCCCCAGAACAGUGGCUUUCCAUUCUGAAUUACGGUGGCAGAAGCCCAAAGGCGGCCCACAGAGGCACUUUCAGAUACACAUGCCUGACUGA
rnacentral:lncRNA from 1 species